GCACAAGCGGUGGAGCAUGUGGUUUAAUUCGACGCAACGCGAAGAACCUUACCAGGGCUUGACAUCCCCUGACCGCGUAUGAAAGUACGUUUCACCCUCGGGUGACAGGGAGACAGGUGGUGCAUGGUUGUCGUCAGCUCGUGUCGUGAGAUGUUGGGUUAAGUCCCGCAACGAGCGCAACCCUCGACCUUAGUUGCCAGCAUUCAGUUGGGCACUCUAAGGUGACUGCCGGCUAAAAGUCGGAGGAAGGUGGGGAUGACGUCAAAUCAUCAUGCCCCUUAUGACCUGGGCUACACACGUGCUACAAUGGGCGGUACAAAGGGUCGCGAACCCGCGAGGGGGAGCCAAUCCCAAAAAGCCGCUCUCAGUUCGGAUUGCAGGCUGCAACUCGCCUGCAUGAAGCCGGAAUCGCUAGUAAUCGCGGAUCAGCAUGCCGCGGUCGAAUACGUUCCCGGGCCUU
rnacentral:rRNA from 1 species